AUAAAAUAUAAAAAUAUAUAGAUAGAUAUGUUAUGUAGUGAUUUAGCUCAAUUUUAACAAAGAAUUACGAGUAUACAGGAAAGUCUUUACCCGGAUUACAAAUCGAUUUUGGUUUGGGCUUUGGGAAGCAAGAGAACCGAAGUAAAUAAUGGCAGAAGUAAUAGCCAUAGCCAAAGCGGAGGAGGUGGAGGAAGAAGAUAGAGAAAAGCAGCCGGAAAUUGGGGGUUUAGCUAUGGAGAAUGGAAUGAAUAGGAAGGAAAAGAGAAAGGCAUUGAAGAAGAUGAAGAGGAAGCAGAUAAGAAAAGAGGUAGCUAUGAAGGAGCGAGAGGAAGUGGAGGCGUGGCUUAACGAUCCAGAGGAGCAGAAGAGGAUCAGUUUGAUGGAGAAGGAAGAUGCGGACAGGUCCGAGAGGGAGAGGAAGGAGUUCGAGGAGAGGGAGAAGGCCUGGCUCGAGGCCAUGGAGAUGAAAAGGAAGAAGAUGGAAGAAGAAGAAUAUGAGGAACAACGAAAGAAGGCACUGGACGAAGAGUCUCGGAAACAGCAGGCUGAGACUGCAAAUGAGGGUAAUGAGAGUGAUGAAGGGGAAUACGAAGAAGGGCCUGCUGAAAUUAUCUGGCAAGGAAAUGAGAUCAUUUUCAAGAAGAAAAGGAUCAGGGUCUCGACGAAAAAUAGUCAGCUAGAUGACUUAAGUAGAAAAGAGGAUGUUGACAGGCCCACAUCUAAUCCUCUUGCACCAGAAUCUGAAACUUUUGCUAAGUAUAGAAACUCAUUGAUGUGUGGACAGCAAUUGAUUGAGAGUGUUGCCGAACAAGUACCAAAUUUCGGAACUGAACUGGAUAAAGCUCAUUGUCCUUUCCACUUAAAAACUGGAGCUUGUCGGUUUGGUCAGCGUUGUAGUAGAGUCCAUUUCUACCCUGAUAAAUCUUGCACUCUGCUUAUCAAGAAUAUGUAUAGUGGACCUGGCCUUGCUUGGGAGCAGGAUGAGGGGCUUGAGUAUACUGAUGAGGAGGUUGAACGCUGUUAUGAAGAAUUUUAUGAGGAUGUCCAUACGGAGUUCUUGAAAUUUGGGGAAAUUGUGAAUUUCAAGGUAUGUAGAAAUGGGUCAUCUCAUCUGCGAGGAAAUGUGUAUGUACACUUCAAAUCAUUGGAUUCUGCUGUUCUGGCACAUCAUUUUGUUAAUGGUCGCUACUUUGCUGGAAAACAGGUGGGAUGUGAAUUUGUUAACCUAACCAGAUGGAAGGUUGCAAUAUGUGGGGAGUAUAUGAAGUCAAGGUUUAAGACAUGUUCCCGUGGAACAGCAUGUAAUUUCAUUCACUGUUUUCGCAAUCCUGGUGGAGAUUAUGAAUGGGCAGAUAGUGACAAACCACCCCCGAGGUAUUGGGUGCAAAAAAUGGUUGCAUUAUUUGGCCGCUCUAAUGAAUCUGCACAUGAGGGACUAAGGGAACAAGGGAAUUUGGAUAAACCAAAUAGCUCUGGCAAAAGAUCAAGCGCUGAUGCAAACAGAUAUUGCUCAAGAAGAUCUGGAACUAGAGAAACUAGUUACUGGGACCAUAGCCAUAGUGGUUCAGGUAGAAGAAAGGAGAAUGCAGAUUUUGUUAGGAGAAGAGCAGAUCAGUUUAGGUGUACAAGUGAUGAUAAUGAUAUCAGAAGUCUUGAUGACGAUAUCCGUGAAGAGAGUAUGGACUUAAAAGACAAACAUCGCAAGAAAAGAAAAAUUUGUCAUACUGAUUCUGAUGGAAAAGUAUUUGAUGAUGAUAGGGAGAUAAGCAGAGAUGAUUUUCAUGAUUAUAUGAGAGAAAGCUCAAGAUGGCAGAGUCAGGACAACAAGAACAGCACUCAUGAAUAUGGUUCAGAUGGAGAAUGGUUGACAAGGGAAGGGGAGAGAGACAGACACUGUGAUCGCGCUAGGAAAAGCUCAAAUCAUCAGAAGAGAGUGAGAAAGCUGGAUGAUUAUGGAAAUUAUAGAAGUCAUGAAAUAGAUUUCAAUAGGAGAGACAAGAGUGGAAACAGGGAAAUAUCACAUGAUAGCAGGAGGAGCAGCUCAAGACACUCUAGAUAUUCUGGUGAUCGCCGGGACAGGAAGAACAGGAGUCAUGAUACCGAUAGAGAGUUGUCAGACAAAGGCAGCCAUGGUGAUGAGUUGUUGGACAAGGAUGAAGUAAGGCACUGUCGUCAAAUUAGGAGACAACUGAAUGAAGUAUCAGAUUUUUCCUAUGAUCAAGGAGAACCAGAAAAUAGCUUGGAAAAGAGAGGCAACGAUUCAAGCAUAGAUGUCAUAAAAGCAGAUUCUUGUAACAGUAAUUGGGGAUCAGAUAAGAGCCAUGAUUCUGGCACUUCAAGUCAAUAUGAUGAGAGAUAUAAAUCACAUGAUCCAUGGGAAUCUGAACAGUGUUCCUAUAAGAAACCCCACAAGUCUAGCAUGGUAACUAGUUCUAGCAGCAGUCCAGGUCGAUACAAUGGAAAGCAAAAACCGAUUGACUAUGAUUCAGAGUUAUAUCAUUACGAAGCCCACGAGGAGCAUCCUCCAGAAUCUGAAGAAGUUAUUUCAGAACACUGGAAGUCUAAAAGUAAGUCUUGCUCUGAUCAUUAUGAGCAAUAUCCUGGUAAGGGUGGGAGAGAAAGCAGAGCAAGGAGAAGCAGCAAAUUAAGCCAUGGGAGACACUCAAAUACCUUGGAGAAGAGGGGUUUUCUAGAGGAUGACAAAAAACUUCAAAAGAUUUGAGAAAAAUCCGACUCGUCUCAAUUCUGAUGAUCAUUCUCGACAUGGUGAGAGAAAGUAUUAAAACGUCAAGGGGAGUUCAUGAACUUGUGUGGUGUGCCUUGCACUUGUAUAGAAAGCCCAGGGGAAUUUGGAGGCCGUAUGCGUAGAUUUUGUAGGAACCAAUCGAUUGGUGGAUGCGUUUAGAGCUGCGUUUCUCAGCUCUGCCCAGUGUGUGCACCGCGAUCCCCAUUCCUUCAGUCCUGGCAGGCAUCACCCUUCUCCCCCACCAUGUUUGCCCAGAUCUGAGCAUCACGAGUUCCAUCUCCGAUAGGCUAUCAUCAUCUCCCAUCUUUGGUUGCAAGAUCUCCUCUCCACUUCUCUUGUUGCCGUCCUUCUCUAACCCCAACAAACUAGAUUCGCUGUGGCUUCUUUCUCCCCAACUCUUUUUUUUUUUUGCUAUGCCUUGUUUGACGAGUGAAUGUUGUUGGAAUCAUGCCUGGCACUAAGACUUUUGCCAAGAAAGUUUAUGUUGCAUCUCGAUUUGUAACUGAUGAGGCUGGGGAGCUUUCUGCAAAACAAAGAAAUUUAUGCGAGCAUAGAUUUUGGGUUGAAAUCAUUCAUCCAUCAGUGUUCCAUCUUGGAUUACUGUCCGACAAUUUUAGCAAAUCUCUUGAUAUUGAUCAAGAUGAAGUCACUGUUCGUGAAA